GGGCUUUUAACUCGUAGUGAGAACGAAGGGAAGAGGAUCUGACUGGCGUGGCUCUUUGCACACCUGGAACUGGGUUAGUAAAUAUCACCCUGGUUGAGCUGGGUACUACUGUACAGCAGGCAAGCUGGUAGGAAAGAAGCUGUGAGUGGGAUUCAGCUGCAAACUGAAGACUCUGCUGAUUAAAUCUACAUGCAGGUGCUACCUGUGAAUAGUUUCAGACUACUGAAAGGCCCGAAACUACGAGGCAUUCGUCUUUGAAGCCAGUCUAUAAUGGAAGGUGAUGUUGAGAAGUCAUUAUCUGUCACUCAGGAAAACUUCGUGAUAGGCAGCCUGCCUGGCUUCUGACAUGGCACUUGGCUGGAGCGGAUGGAAAAAUAGAAGCUUGCACAGAAAGCCUGAAAUACAUGGUCUGAUUUUUCAGAAUCGGGUAAUCGGUGCUCGCGCAAGAAGCUCUUUGGUAACUGCUCCGGGGAAGAAAGGCUUGAUGGUGAGAUGUGCUGAGUGCCCUUGGUGUCCGUCAGGUUUAAGGAUGCUCAGCUGCUGGAGAACGUGCUCCGGACAAGGCUUU